rnacentral:rRNA from 1 species
UCCUGGCUCAGGACGAACGCUGGCGGCGUGCUUAACACAUGCAAGUCGAGCGGUAAGGCCCUUCGGGGUACACGAGCGGCGAACGGGUGAGUAACACGUGAGCAACCUGCCCCUGACUCUGGGAUAAGCGGUGGAAACGCCGUCUAAUACCGGAUACGACCCGCCACCUCAUGGUGGAGGGUGGAAAGUUUUUCGGUCAGGGAUGGGCUCGCGGCCUAUCAGCUUGUUGGUGGGGUAACGGCCUACCAAGGCGAUUACGGGUAGCCGGCCUGAGAGGGCGACCGGCCACACUGGGACUGAGACACGGCCCAGACUCCUGCGGGAGGCAGCAGUGGGGAAUAUUGCGCAAUGGGCGAAAGCCUGACGCAGCGACGCCGCGUGGGGGAUGACGGCCUUCGGGUUGUAAACCUCUUUUACCACCAACGCAGGCUCGAAGUUUUCUUCGGGUUGACGGUAGGUGGGGAAUAAGGACCGGCUAACUACGUGCCAGCAGCCGCGGUAAUACGUAGGGUCCGAGCGUUGUCCGGAAUUAUUGGGCGUAAAGAGCUCGUAGGCGGCGUGUCGCGUCUGCUGUGAAAGACCGGGGCUUAACUCCGGUUCUGCAGUGGAUACGGGCAUGCUAGAGGUAGGUAGGGGAGACUGGAAUUCCUGGUGUAGCGGUGAAAUGCGCAGAUAUCAGGAGGAACACCGGUGGCGAAGGCGGGUCUCUGGGCCUUACCUGACGCUGAGGAGCGAAAGCAUGGGGAGCGAACAGGAUUAGAUACCCUGGUAGUCCAUGCCGUAAACGUUGGGCGCUAGGUGUGGGGACUUUCCACGGUUUCCGCGCCGUAGCUAACGCAUUAAGCGCCCCGCCUGGGGAGUACGGCCGCAAGGCUAAAACUCAAAGGAAUUGACGGGGGCCCGCACAAGCGGCGGAGCAUGUUGCUUAAUUCGACGCAACGCGAAGAACCUUACCAAGGUUUGACAUCACCCGUGGACUAGCAGAGAUGUGAGGUCAUUUAGUUGGCGGGUGACAGGUGGUGCAUGCAGUCGUCAG